UACAGAGGGUGCAAGCGUUAAUCGGAAUUACUGGGCGUAAAGCGCACGUAGGCGGCUUUGUAAGUUAGAGGUGAAAGCCCGGGGCUCAACCCCGGAAUUGCCUUUAAGACUGCAUCGCUUGAAUCCAGGAGAGGUGAGUGGAAUUCCGAGUGUAGAGGUGAAAUUCGUAGAUAUUCGGAAGAACACCAGUGGCGAAGGCGGCUCACUGGACUGGUAUUGACGCUGAGGUGCGAAAGCGUGGGGAGCAAACAGG
rnacentral:rRNA from 1 species